CAUGCCGUAAACGGUGGGCGCUAGGUGUGGGGGUCUUCCACGACUUCUGUGCCGUAGCUAACGCAUUAAGCGCCCCGCCUGGGGAGUACGGCCGCAAGGCUAAAACUCAAAGGAAUUGACGGGGGCCCGCACAAGCGGCGGAGCAUGUGGAUUAAUUCGAUGCAACGCGAAGAACCUUACCUGGGCUUGACAUAUGCCGGAUCGGCGCAGAGAUGCGUUUUCCCUUGUGGUCGGUAUACAGGUGG
rnacentral:rRNA from 1 species